rnacentral:rRNA from 1 species
AGGACGAACGCUGGCGGCGUGCUUAACACAUGCAAGUCGAGCGGAAAGGCUCCUUCGGGGGUACUCGAGCGGCGAACGGGUGAGUAACACGUGAGUAAUCUGCCCUUGGCUUCGGGGAUAACUACCGGAAACGGUGACUAAUACCGGAUAUGACCACUCCUUGCAUGAGGUGGUGGUGGAAAGUUUUUUCGGCCAGGGAUGUGCUCGCGGCCUAUCAGCUUGUUGGUGGGGUAAUGGCCUACCAAGGCUUCGACGGGUAGCCGGCCUGAGAGGGUGACCGGCCACACUGGGACUGAGACACGGCCCAGACUCCUACGGGAGGCAGCAGUGGGGAAUAUUGGACAAUGGGCGGAAGCCUGAUCCAGCAACGCCGCGUGAGGGAUGACGGCCUUCGGGUUGUAAACCUCUUUCAGUACCGACGAAGCGCCGAUGAUGGUGGUGACGGUAGGUACAGAAGAAGCACCGGCCAACUACGUG